AUUGAACGCUGGCGGCAUGCUUUACACAUGCAAGUCGAACGGUAACAGGCCGCAAGGUGCUGACGAGUGGCGAACGGGUGAGUAAUGCAUCGGAACGUGCCCAGUCGUGGGGGAUAACGCAGCGAAAGCUGUGCUAAUACCGCAUACGAUCUAUGGAUGAAAGCGGGGGACCGUAAGGCCUCGCGCGAUUGGAGCGGCCGAUGUCAGAUUAGCUAGGUGGUGGGGGAAAGGCCCACCAAGGCGACGAUCUGUAGCUGGUCUGAGAGGACGACCCGACACACUGGGACUGAGACACGGGCCAGACUCCUACGGGAGGCAGCAGUGGGGAAUUUUGGACAAUGGGCGCAAGCCUGAUCCAGCAAUGCCGCGUGCAGGAAGAAGGCCUUCGGGUUGUAAACUGCUUUUGUACGGAACGAAAAGGUUUGGGUUAAUACCCUGGGCCGAUGACGGUACCGUAAGAGUAAGCACCGGCUAACUACGUGCCAGCCGCCGCGGUAA
rnacentral:rRNA from 1 species